rnacentral:rRNA from 1 species
AAUGAACGCUGGCGGCAGGCCUAACACAUGCAAGUCGAACGAGUGGCGGACGGGUGAGUAAUGUCUGGGAAACUGCCUGAUGGAGGGGGAUAACUACUGGAAACGGUAGCUAAUACCGCAUACCAUCAGAUGUGCCCAGAUGGGAUUAGCUAGUUGGUGGGGUAACGGCUCACCAAGGCGACGCUCCCUAGCCGGUCUGCGAGGUGGACCAGUCACUCUGUAACGGAGACACGGUCCAGACGCCUACGGGAGGCAUCAGGUGGGAAUAUUGCACAAUGGGCGCAAGCCUGAUGCAGCCAGUCCGCGGGUAGGAAGAAGGCCUUCGGGUUUUAAAGUAGUUGCAGCGGGGAGGCGUGACCCGCAGAAGAAGCACCGGCUAACUCCGUGCCAGCAGCCGCGGUAAUAC